rnacentral:rRNA from 1 species
GUCCAGACUCCUACGGGAGGCAGCAGUGAGGAAUAUUGGUCAAUGGUCGGGAGACUGAACCAGCCAAGCCGCGUGAGGGAUGAAGGUACAGAGUAUCGUAAACCUCUUUUGUCAGGGAACAAAGGCGGGGACGCGUCCCCGGAUGAGUGUACCUGAAGAAAAAGCAUCGGCUAACUCCGUGCCAGCAGCCGCGGUAAUACGGAGGAUGCGAGCGUUAUCCGGAUUUAUUGGGUUUAAAGGGUGCGUAGGCGGGCUGUUAAGUCAGCGGUCAAAUGUCGGGGCUCAACCCCGGCCUGCCGUUGAAACUGGCGGCCUCGAGUGGGCGAGAAGUAUGCGGAAUGCGUGGUGUAGCGGUGAAAUGCUUAGAUAUCACGAAGAACUCCGAUUGCGAAGGCAGCCUACUAAACUGCCACUGACAUUGAUGCUCGAAAGUGUGGGUAUCAAACAGGAUUAGAUACCCCUGUA